CAUGCAGUCGAGCGGGGAGAUGUAGCUUGCUACAUUUCCUAGCGGCGGACGGGUGAGUAAUGCUUAGGAAUCUGCCUAUUAGUGGGGGACAACAUUCCGAAAGGAAUGCUAAUACCGCAUACGCCCUACGGGGGAAAGCAGGGGAUCUUCGGACCUUGCGCUAAUAGAUGAGCCUAAGUCAGAUUAGCUAGUUGGUGGGGUAAAGGCCUACCAAGGCGACGAUCUGUAGCGGGUCUGAGAGGAUGAUCCGCCACACUGGGACUGAGACACGGCCCAGACUCCUACGGGAGGCAGCAGUGGGGAAUAUUGGACAAUGGGCGAAAGCCUGAUCCAGCCAUGCCGCGUGUGUGAAGAAGGCCUUUUGGUUGUAAAGCACUUUAAGCGAGGAGGAGGCUACCGAGAUUAAUACUCUUGGAUAGUGGACGUUACUCGCAGAAUAAGCACCGGCUAACUCUGUGCCAGCAGCCGCGGUAAUACAGAGGGUGCGAGCGUUAAUCGGAUUUACUGGGCGUAAAGCGUGCGUAGGCGGCUUUUUAAGUCGGAUGUGAAAUCCCUGAGCUUAACUUAGGAAUUGCAUUCGAUACUGGGAAGCUAGAGUAUGGGAGAGGAUGGUAGAAUUCCAGGUGUAGCGGUGAAAUGCGUAGAGAUCUGGAGGAAUACCGAUGGCGAAGGCAGCCAUCUGGCCUAAUACUGACGCUGAGGUACGAAAG
rnacentral:rRNA from 1 species